rnacentral:rRNA from 1 species
AAGACCUUGCGCUUUUGGAGCGGCCGAUGCCUGAUUAGCUAGUUGGUGAGGUAAAGGCUUACCAAGGCUUCGAUCAGUAGCUGGUCUGAGAGGACGACCAGCCACACUGGGACUGAGACACGGCCCAGACUCCUACGGGAGGCAGCAGUGGGGAAUUUUGGACAAUGGGGGAAACCCUGAUCCAGCCAUGCCGCGUGAGUGAAGAAGGCCUUCGGGUUGUAAAGCUCUUUCAGCCGGAACGAAACGGUCACGGCUAAUACCUGUGAUCACUGACGGUACCGGAAGAAGAAGCACCGGCUAACUACGUGCCAGCAGCCGCGGUAAUACGUAGGGUGCGGGCGUUAAUCGGAAUUACUGGGCGUAAGCGUGCGCA